ACGCGCAGAACCUUACCAACCCUUGACAUACUCGUCGUCGCUCCAGAGAUGGAGCUUUCAGUUCGGCUGGACGAGAUACAGGUGCUGCAUGGCUGUCGUCAGCUCGUGUCGUGAGAUGUUCGGUUAAGUCCGGCAACGAGCGCAACCCACAUCCCUAGUUGCCAGCAGUUCGGCUGGGCACUCUAUGGAAACUGCCCGUGAUAAGCGGGAGGAAGGUGUGGAUGACGUCAAGUCCUCAUGGCCCUUACGGGUUGGGCUACACACGUGCUACAAUGGCAGUGACAAUGGGUUAAUCCCAAAAAACUGUCUCAGUUCGGAUUGGGGUCUGCAACUCGACCCCAUGAAGUCGGAAUCGCUAGUAAUCGCGUAACAGCAUGACGCGGUGAAUACGUUCCCGGGCCUUGUACACACCGCCCGUCACACCAUGGGAGUUGGUUCUACCCGACGACGCUGCGCUAACCUNNGGGG
rnacentral:rRNA from 1 species